CGCAUGAAGUCGGAAUUGCUAGUAAUCGCGGAUCAGCAUGCCGCGGUGAAUACGUUCCCGGGCCUUGUACACACCGCCCGUCACACCAUGGGAGCCGGUAAUACCCGAAGUCAGUAGUCCAACCUCGUGAGGACGCUGCCGAAGGUAGGAUUGGCGACUGGGGUGAAGUCGUAACAAGGUAUC
rnacentral:rRNA from 1 species